CGCGGAGUGCGCGCAUGCUCGGCCGACAGACCGCUGGGGUCUCGAGUCGCUGCAAUCUGUUGCGCCGCCGCCCGCGGAAGCGGGUAGAUCCGGGUCUCGUGGUUUAUAGUGACGUGGUCAGUCUCACCAAAACAGAAGAGGGGAGGAAGCCAGAGGCCGAGAGCAGCACCCGCAGCGUCCGGAAACUCCAGGCGGUCUUUCUGCCGAGCCUGGGUCCUGGCCCACAUCCUCCCCGCCCCGUCGGUUACUGUCUGGGCGGGCCUACUGCAGUAACCUGCUGGUUUACCUGUUUCCACUUUGACUUUUAAUGGUUCAUUCCUCUUACCACACCCUAAGAGAUCCUUUAAAAUGUCAGAGCACUGAUGUGAGUCUCAGCUUUCUAAAAAUACAGAAUGAAGCUGGCUUUUGCUUGACUGCACUCAUUAAUUGACAAGUGUUACAGGUGCAGCGCUUUCAAGAUUUAACAGCUAAGAAAGGUACUUCAAAUCAAGUUAGGGAUUCAGAAAGGAGAAGUGAGAGAAGACACGGGUUUGAAUCCCCCUUCUGCUGCGUGACUUGGAUUUAAACAGUGAAGUUAAAUCAAGCUGGGUAAUCAUGGCAGAAGGUGGAUUCGAUCCCUGUGAAUGUGUUUGCUCUCAUGAGCAUGCAAUGAGGAGGCUGAUCAACCUGUUGAGGCAGUCCCAGUCCUACUGCACAGACACAGAAUGUCUUCAGGAAUUACCGGGACCCUCUGGUGAUAAUGGCAUCAGUAUUACCAUGAUCUUGAUGGCCUGGAUGGUUGUUGCAGUCAUCUUGUUUCUACUGAGGCCUCCUAAUCUGAGAGGAUCCAAUCUAACUGGAAAGCCAACCAGUCCUCAUAAUGGACAAGAUCCGCCGGCCCCUCCUGUGGACUAAUUUUGUGAUAUGGGAAGUGAAAAUAGUUAACACCUUGCACGACCAAAUGAACGAAGAUGACCAGAGUACUCUUAACCCCAUUAGAACUGUUCUUCCUUUUGCAUCUGCAAUAUAGGAUGGUACUGUUUCCAUGAGCUUCUAGAAUUUUGACUUGCAAGCUUAUUUUUUUUUUGCUUCCUUUGUUAUUACCAUUCCUAUUCACAGUAUAUUUGAGUUAACAAUUGUAUUUUAAAAAGUUACAUGGGUUAUUUUGGUUAUCCUAAACUCAAACAUUCCACUUAUUUUAUUUGUGACGGUGAGCACAAUUUUGGUGAUGAUUUCUGGCCUGAUUGAAGGAAUUUGUGAUCUCUGCAUUUAAAUAUUUGAUAUAGUUUUGAUAGGCUUUGAAGUUGAUUUUUCCAUAAGGUAUUUAUAAAGUUAUUUAGGGUUGUCUGAGAUUGUACGAAAGAAAAUUAGAACCAGACUAUUUCUACUUACCUUGGUAGUUUAUUUGUGGGUGGCAGUUCUUGGGACUGUGGCAGCCUUUGGAAUAUUUUACAAGUUACACCUGAAUCUGUAUCAUCCACUACAAGUGGCUUAUGUGACUAGAAAAAGAGAAGAAGUGAAAUAAUUGUUUACUAAGGUUUUUAUUCCCAUAAAAUGUCUAAUAUUAAGAAAACUUUAAAUAAAAAUGAUUUAAACAUGGUGGAUGAGUUAUAAUCCAUUAUAUGAUAUUUGAAGCCACUGUAUACUAAAUAGCUUUACAAGAUUCACGAAAGGAGGAAAAUAGUUCAUUCUUCUUGCCUUUGCCGGAUAUAAUCUAUACAGUAAUAAUUUAAUCAGUAAUUUAUUUUAAAAAUGGGUGCCUCUCAGAAAGCUUCCUUUCUGUCUGAGUACUUCCCUGUUAAAUGAAACUCCUAAGGCUAGCUGUAUUGGGGGUCUGUUUGCUUACUGACAUUUGAAUGCUAUUUACUUAUUUACUCUAUUUUUUUCUUUGAAGAAAAGUAUUGGAGUAUUUACUUCAAAGUAAAUACUUUGUAUUGGAGUAUUGUUAUUCUUCUGACUUUAAAAAAUAUUUAAUGAAUUCUUGGUUUACCCCAAAAGGAGGGAAAUGAGAAACAAUCAAGGAUCUUUUUCUUACCCUAUAUAUUUCAUUCCUGUUUGGUAACAGGGUGGAUUGGCGUGUGGAGGAACAUGGAUGUAGGUGAAAUUUUGAACUGUAUAGAAAGUAAAAUGUUGCAUUGUUUUGGUCAGUUUGAAAGAAAAUGAAUACAAAUGUCAUUUUAAAAAGUCUGCAUAACCUGCGUGGUAUAGAUUUUUUCCUAGCAAGCAAUUGCAGAUGAUUUAUGAGGGCUAGAAGAUAUUUUUCUAUCAUAUAAGGAUUUUCCCCCCUAGACCUGUCUAGGUUUUCACUGUAUUGAUCUGAGAAAUUACCUGUAUGAAUUGAAUAAACUUCUCUAUAUCAUUAUACUGUUGAAUAGAGUCUCUGAUACAGCUGUGUGAUGCUCUUAGGAUAUUUUCCCCCUUUAUCAUCUUUAUAUUCUGGGUCAUAAACCUUGUAAGAGUUUCAUUUCAUUAUAUAAUCCCAUACUGACUGCUUGCCCUCCUCCUGUGCAUCUUGGCUUUGUGCUCAACUUCUUGAAAAAAAUACAACCUAUUCUUAAUUACUUGUGCUAAUCAGGAUAUUAUAACACAGGUAAGUCAAAUCCCAGAUAAAUAAAUACCAUAAGGUUUUUCCUCUUGCUGUGGCCUAAUGGAAGCCUGCCCAGCUCUAUAGCUUUUAAGGUACUUACAGCAGAAAGGGCAGGAAUGGCAUGUAUAAACAUUCCUAUUUCUGCCCUUGCCCCCUGAACUUUGAAUGCUUGCACAUGUAUCCUGAAGUCUGUCCUCUAAACUGCUAGAAGGGCAGUCUCUGGCGGAGAUCCUGAUAUAUUCACUGAAUCAACAGCUCACAAAUUAAUUGAGAUCUGGCUUUGGCAGAAGACGUGGCUGUGACAGGGAAACAGUGUCUAGUGUUAGAAAGAGACCUGGAAAUCUGGACUUUUAUUCCUGGUUCCUCAUUUCUGUCACAUACAUUUAAUUGACAUUACAUCUAGAAGAUUAACCUUUUCCUGUAUGGAUGAUCUAUUUAACUAGUAACAAAAGUUUUUAGUGGAGUAUUUAAUAUUGUUUUUUGUUUGUUUAUUUGUUUUUUUUUUGCUUGUAAAGUUUCUCUGCAACCCUGAAAAGGAUAGUGUACAACUGCAUAUAAAAUAUUCCUGUUAACCUUACUGGUAAUUUAUAUUCCUCUUAAUUUCUUAAGCUUCUACAUGUGGCCUUUUUAUUGAGCGCGUUCUUAUUCAUUACUUGGCUUGUAAACAUUCACCUGAACUAUGGCUACAAUCAUUUUUAAGUAAUGUGGAAAAAAAAAAGGAAGAUAAAUCUUCACACUUUAAUCACCAUGGGCUCUUAAACAUUCCACAAAUGCCAUUAAGAAUUUAUUUUGUUUUACAGUCAUUUAAUGUUCUUUUAUGCAAAAUAGUGGGUUUCUUUGCCUUUCAUAUGGAAAAAGUUAACAUUGGAACUGUGUAUAGUAAAAGAUUUUAUUAUGUAUCUAUCCAAGCACUAUCCCAUGAUCAGCAAGUCAUAUUUUGAACAACUUGGAGAUUUUCUGAAGUAACUAUUAAGUCCAGCUAUUCCGUAGUUACUUUUAGUGUCUUUGCGGUUUGUGAUGUGAUAGUGUUUAUGGAAUUACCAAAUUCUUACAUUUUCAAAGGAACCUUGGAAAUAUAUCACUCUGAAUGAAAGUCUGUCACUCUAAAUGAAUAUGUGCUAAAAUUUGACCAGCUCGGUUUAAGAUACAAAACAACUUGAAGGAGAAAUGGGAGGUUACAGUUAAUGGGUGAAAUUUUUGUUGUUCAAAUAGUAGGUUUAAUUUUAACAUCAUAAUAUUUCUAAAUGGAAAAAACCAUGUACUUGUUACCAUGUCUGAUUACUUUGUUAAAAGGAAAAGUGGUCACGUGCUAUACUAAAUGUUAAUUGCUGUUUUCAAAUGUUUAAUCAUGCCAAACAAAUCAUGUCUGUGCCAUCCAGGGUUUAUUGUCAUCUUUUACUGAGUACUUGGAUUGGGAUAAAGGGCUUGUACUAUGCACUUUUUAUUAAUGAAUAAAUAGAAAAUGUUAGUAACACUCAA